GCCCGUGUGGCUCAGUGGUUGAGCAUCAGCCCAUGAACCAGGAGGUCAGGGUUCGAUUCCCAGUCAGGGCU
rnacentral:tRNA from 1 species